ACCGGGCGUGGUGGCGCGUGCCUGUAGUCCCAGCUACUCGGGAGGCUGAGGUGGGAGGAUCGCUUGAGCCCAGGAGUUCUGGGCUGUAGUGCACUAUGCCUAUCAGGUGUCCACACUAAGUUCGGCAUCAAUAUGGUGACCUCCUGGGAUUAUAUAUGGAAUAUAUAUCCGGUUCACCCCACGUUGCCUAAGGAGGGGUGAACCGGCCCAGGUCAGAAACGGAGGAGGUCAAAACUCCCGUGCUGAUCAGUAGUGGGAUCACGCCUGUGAAUAGUCACUGUACUCCAGCCUGGGCAACAUAGCGAGACCCAGUCUGAA
ensembl:misc_RNA Metazoa_SRP Metazoan signal recognition particle RNA